AGGGGUUAGCUUACGCGAAGCUCUGAAUUGAAGCCCCAGUAAACGGCGGCCGUAACUAUAACGGUCCUAAGGUAGCGAAAUUCCUUGUCGGGUAAGUUCCGACCCGCACGAAAGGCGUAACGAUCUGGGCACUGUCUCAACGAGAGACUCGGUGAAAUUAUAGUACCUGUGAAGAUGCAGGUUACCCGCGACAGGACGGAAAGACCCCGUGGAGCUUUACUGCAGCCUGAUAUUGAAUUUCGGCACAGCUUGUACAGGAUAGGUAGGAGCCUUUGAAACCGGAGCGCCAGCUUCGGUGGAGGCGUCGGUGGGAUACUACCCUGGCUGUGUUGAACUUCUAACCCGCACCCGUCAUCCGGGUGGGAGACAGUGUCAGGCAGGCAGUUUGACUGGGGCGGUCGCCUCCUAAAGAGUAACGGAGGCGCCCAAAGGUUCCCUCAGAAUGGUUGGAAAUCAUUCGCAGAGUGUAAAGGCACAAGGGAGCUUGACUGCGAGACCUACAAGUCGAGCAGGGACGAAAGUCGGGCUUAGUGAUCCGGUGGUUCCGCAUGGAAGGGCCAUCGCUCAACGGAUAAAAGCUACCCCGGGGAUAACAGGCUUAUCUCCCCCAAGAGUCCACAUCGACGGGGAGGUUUGGCACCUCGAUGUCGGCUCAUCGCAUCCUGGGGCUGUAGUCGGUCCCAAGGGUUGGGCUGUUCGCCCAUUAAAGCGGUACGCGAGCUGGGUUCAGAACGUCGUGAGACAGUUCGGUCCCUAUCCGUCGCGGGCGCAGGAAAUUUGAGAGGAGCUGUCCUUAGUACGAGAGGACCGGGAUGGACGCACCGCUGGUGUACCAGUUGUCUUGCCAAAGGCAUCGCUGGGUAGCUAUGUGCGGACGGGAUAAGUGCUGAAAGCAUCUAAGCAUGAAGCCCCCCUCAAGAUGAGAUUUCCCAUAGCGUCAAGCUAGUAAGAUCCCUGAAAGAUGAUCAGGUAGAUAGGUUCGAGGUGGAAGCGUGGCGACACGUGGAGCUGACGAAUACUAAUCGAUCGAGGACUUAUCCUA
rnacentral:ncRNA from 1 species